UACUCUGGGGCAGUUCUGGGGUAGAUAUGCAAACCUCCUACAGCCAGCUCUUUCCCUAG
rnacentral:miRNA from 1 species